rnacentral:rRNA from 1 species
ACUUACCAGGUCAAGACAUGGGCGUGAUUGACAGGCUAAUGACUUUUCUCGAUUCCAUGGAUGGUGGUGCAUGGUCGCACUUAGUUGGUGCAGUGAUUUGUCAGGUUUAUUCCGGUAACGAACGAGACCUCGGCCUUGUAAAUAGCUAUGCUGCUUACAGGGACAUUGGCGGCUACGCCAAGGAAGCUCGAGGCAAUUGCAGAUCUGGAAUGCCCUUAGAUGUCCUGGGUCGCACGCGUGCUACAAUGACGCCACGAACGAGCUUGCGUGAUGAAAGUUACGCAUAAUCAGCAGUCGGCGUCUUAAGGGAUAGUCUCUUGUAACUGUGGGACUCCAACUAGGAAUGUCUCGUAAGCACAAGUCAACAUCUUGUGUUGAUUACGUCCCUGCUCUUUGUACACACCGCCCGUCGCUCCUACCGAUCGAGUGUUUAGGUGAAUUUGAUGGACGUAAGGAAGUCAAAUAAACCUGAGCACUAGAGAAGAGAAGUCGACAUGUCU